GCAUGGCCCUAAAUCUCGAUGCAUACCCUACCCAAGCAUCCGCCUGAGAACUACGAGCACAAACGCUUAAAACUCUAAGGACUUGGCGGUGCCCCAAACCCACCUAGAGGAGCCUGUUCUAUAAUCGACAAUCCACGAUACACCCGACCACUUCUUGCUAAAAACAGCCUACAUACCGCCGUCGCCAGCCCACCUCCCCUGAGAGCACGACAGUGGGCACAAUCGCCCCAACCCCGCUAGUAAGACAGGUCAAGGUAUAGCCUAUGAAGUGGAAGAAAUGGGCUACAUUUUCUAACCUAGAAAACCCUCACUCUAACGAAAGGAAACAUGAAACAGUUCCCAGAAGGCGGAUUUAGCAGUAAAGCGGGAUAAUAAAGCCCCCUUUAAACUGGCUCUGAGGCAC
rnacentral:rRNA from 1 species